rnacentral:rRNA from 1 species
GACAGAGGGGGCGAGCGUUGUCCGGAGUCACUGGGCGUAAAGCGCGCGCAGGCGGCAACCUGAGUGUCGUGUGAAAGCCCCCGGCUCAACCGGGGGAGGCCAUGGCAAACUGGGUCGCUCGAGCUGCGGAGAGGCCCCUCGAAUUGCCGGUGUAGCGGUGAAAUGCGUAGAGAUCGGCAGGAAGACCAAGGGGGAAGCCAGGGGGCUGGCCGCAGGCUGACGCUGGGGCGCGACAGCGUGGGGAGCAAUCCGC